rnacentral:rRNA from 1 species
UACGGGGGGAGCAAGCGUUGUUCGGAUUUACUGGGCGUAAAGGGCGCGUAGGCGGCCUCUGCAAGUCGACUGUGAAAUCUCCGGGCUUAACCCGGAAAGGUCAGCCGAUACUGCAGGGCUAGAGUGCAGAAGGGGCAACUGGAAUUCUCGGUGUAGCGGUGAAAUGCGUAGAGAUCGGCAGGAACACCCGUGGCGAAAGCGGCUUCCUGGCUCAGUCCUGACACUCAGAUGCGAAAGCUAGGGGAGCGAACGGG